UACGGAGGGGGGCUAGCGUUGUUCGGAAUUACUGGGCGUAAAGCGCACGUAGGCGGUUAUUCAAGUCAGAGGUGAAAGCCCAGUGCUCAACACUGGAACUGCCUUUGAAACUAGAUAGCUUGAAUCCAGGAGAGGUGAGUGGAAUUCCGAGUGUAGAGGUGAAAUUCGUAGAUAUUCGGAAGAACACCAGUGGCGAAGGCGGCUCACUGGACUGGUAUUGACGCUGAGGUGGCGAAAAGCGUGGGGAGCAAACAGG
rnacentral:rRNA from 1 species